rnacentral:rRNA from 1 species
GACGAACGCUGGCGGCGUGCUUAACACAUGCAAGUCGAACGGUGAAGCGCCUUCCUUUUUGGUGGGUGUGGAUGAGUGGCGAACGGGUGAGUAACACGUGAGUAACCUGCCCCCUUCUUCUGGAUAACCGCAUGAAAGUGUGGCUAAUACGGGAUAUUCUGGGUCUGUCGCAUGACGGGUCUGGGAAAGAUAUUGUUUCGGUGGGGGAUGGGCUCGCGGCCUAUCAGCUUGUUGGUGGGGUGAUGGCCUACCAAGGCGGUGACGGGUAGCCGGCCUGAGAGGGUGGACGGUCACACUGGGACUGAGACACGGCCCAGACUCCUACGGGAGGCAGCAGUGGGGAAUAUUGCACAAUGGGCGCAAGCCUGAUGCAGCGACGCCGCGUGAGGGAUGGAGGCCUUCGGGUUGUGAACCUCUUUCGCCAGUGAAGCAGGCCUGCCUCGUUUGUGGGUGGGUUGACGGUAGCUGGAGAAGAAGCGCCGGCUAACUACGUG